AAGUCGUAACAAGGUUUCCGUAGGUGAACCUGCGGAAGGAUCAUUAACGAAUAACUAUGGUGUCUUGGUUGUAGCUGGCUCCUCGGAGCAAUGUGCACGCCCGCCAUUUUUAUCUUUCCACCUGUGCACCGACUGUAGGUCUGGAUACCUCUCGCCCUUCACGGGGCGGAUGCGAGGAUUGCUCGUAAGGGCUUUCCUCGAAUUUCCAGGCUCUACGUCUUUUUACACACCCCAAUAGUAUGAUGUAGAAUGUAGUCAAUGGGCUUCUUAGCCUAUAAAACACUAUACAACUUUCAGCAACGGAUCUCUUGGCUCUC
rnacentral:misc_RNA from 1 species